rnacentral:lncRNA from 1 species
UUCAUACAUACUACUUGCCGACAUACAAAAUAUAGAGGCAACAUACAAAAUAAUAAUAUAUACAGUUGAUACUUGCCGACAUACAAUUACCACUCCUGAUUACAGAUAGCACACUACACCUGGGUAGCGUAUCCCUCCAGCAACAUCUCCAUCUUGUCUCUCACAACCUGGGACCAUGCAACGGUAAUCUCCACCUCAGAACCACAGAUGAAACAUCUAUCCUGACUAAUGUUGCACCACUUGGAAGGGAAGUGGACAAGAUCAGAGAUAGAACCAGAAUCAACAUAGGCUGUUACCUCAACAGUCACUCCUUUUUCAAACUCUACUGAAAUGGCGUUUCUUGACAAAGGAACAUAACCAUCCAAAACUACUUCGUCUUCUCUAGUAAUUUUUUCAGUAGAAUCAAACAGCACAACCCUCUCACGGCCAGAAACAAUACAAGCAACCUGACCCCCAGAGCUAAAAGGGAACUCCCCUCCAACAACACGAACGGACAAUACAGUGAGCUGGACCGUCGUAGGAAAAAGCUCAAACCUCAACUCCGCAGUACAGAAUGGGCUAUCGAAGAGUAAAGGUUGCUCACCGUCGCCGUCUGCUUCUUUAUACCGCUUGCUAACACACAUCAACUGUGUAUCAUUGUGCUCAUCAUCUCCAUCACGUACUUUUAGUUCAACUUCAAAGUCAACAUAAUCCCCAACUAGAAUUGCUCGAGACGGGCCAGUCAAGCGCAGAUAAGAGUC